rnacentral:tRNA from 1 species
GAAGGUAUAGCUCAGUGGUAGAGUACAGGCUUGGCAUGCCGGGGUCCUGGGUUCAAUGCCCCGUACCUCCA